CAAGGGCUCGCCGGGAAACAACCGAGUCCCGGUUCGGAGACUGUUCGCCGCCUGCGCGGCCGUGCAAAUAGCGGCCCUCUUGCUGCUUGUCAGAAAGCGACACCUGUAGGCACAGUGUCCUUCUGCAUGAGACCAGCAACAGAUGGUGCCUUCAGGAUCCCAAUGGAGGAGGUAGAUGGGCAUCGGACAGCCCGAUAUUUGCACUUGGGGAAACUUGUGCCAGCGGGAAGCGAGUUUGCAGCGGCUCCGCCUGCGCAGCGGGCGCGCAAUCCUGCGCAGACCGAGCGAGACGCUUCCCAUGCAUCCAAAGCGCUUCAUGCCGCUGUGGAGGUACUACUUCCAAGCUUAUACUACAUUUGUAUAAACCUAUAUAGGACAAUCUCUCUGUUUCUCGGACGAGUAUUUGUUUUAGAAGUUGCAGAGCUUCUUCUUGAUAAAGAGUUCGGUGUGCAUUCAGAAUUCAGUUUAUAACGCACUGGACACGCGUCGUUUCUCCGUUACUUGACCACUACCUUGAUUUAUUUAUUUAUUUGCUGUUGUACCACAACUAAAUGUGUUUCAGGUUACUGGUGGUUUAAGCUUGUGGGUUUCGACCCAACGUUAUUGUUUAUACAUGACUUGAAACCACCCGUAAUGCCGGGAAUAGUAAGUUGAUGUCAUGGUCCCUUGGUACUUGAGCAAGGGGAAAAACUCACUAAUAUCACUUUAGGAUUAUAAGUCUUAUAUAACUGACCUCUGAAAAGGAUCUCACAUCCAGUAUACUUUUUUUUUUGCUGUACAUAAACAACGGGGGAAAAUGAAGUUCUCUCUUUUAAAAAGGGAAAUAUUUGAAACGUAUAACACAGUCUUUAGGACUUUUUUUUUUUUUUUUUAAUUAUCCCUACCAAAUGAUCUUUCUUUACAUUUCACUGUACUUCUGGCCUGUGAAAUAAGCUAACUGAAUAUAUUUUAUCCAGCAAAUCUUAUCUAAAGACAGCAGCAAGUGACCACCACACAUACAGUAUACAGUCAUUUUUACUACUGAGCGAUGAUAUUUAUUAAAGCACUGAAUCUCUAAAUGGAGAAUGCUCUGUGGCAAACUUGAGAGGAUGUGAAAUUCACUUUCUAUUUUCUAAAAGUUUUGUAUACAGGGCUUUUGAGCUCACCUUUUGUAACAGUGUUAAGGUAGAUUACCUUAAAUCUUGGGAGAAGAUGCAUUUACAAGCAUGUAAGUUUUUCAUAAGCUAUAAUGUUUUUGUAUCAUUGCAGAAUUGUGAUAUUAUACAAGUUAUGAAUUUGUGAUUUUACACAUGUGCUCUCUGCUGUUCCUCAACAAAAAUCUUGUGAUUCCUGUGACAGAUUUAGAAAAUAAACUUUUCCAUACAAAUUU